rnacentral:lncRNA from 1 species
GUCUCUAAUCACAACUAGAGACACAUUACCAACUUCGACCCAAUCGAAUCAACUUCCGCCAUCGCUAUAGGUUCACGUUCUGCUCACGCACCUAUAACCUUAGGGCUUACCAACCUAUGGUCUCCUAGGUCAUCCUAGACUUUCUCUCUUUACUUGCUCUUAUCGCUCUGAUACCAAAACAGCUGUCACGCCCCGCCCCGAAUCCACUACCAAUUUGGCAAGAUUCGACUACGGCGG